CACUAAUGUGAUACCUUGGAACACCCUAGAUGGUGUUCUAUUAUUUAAGUAUAUUUUAUAUGAGAGUACUAGUAGGGAAAUGGCUCAGAGGUUGGCAGUAUGUUGCGGAAUAGUAUUUAGUUAAUCCUGACACAGGAAGAGCAUGUUAGCAAAGAAACAGAACAAUGUUGUUUUUUACGUUGUUAUUAUGAUUCUCAGAGAUGACAUGAUCCAGACCACAGAACUGUAGUAGGCAUUGUUUAGGGACCUUCCGGAAAACACAAGACAAAAUGAAACUGCUGUGUCCUUCUGUAUCUGGAAAGAACGAAGAAUGAGGGUGUAGCCUCUCUGAACUGUAAAUGCUUCUCACCAGGAGGAGUCAAUUAAACACACAGUCUUCUGCAGAUCCCCACGAAACAGCACAAGAGAAUGAAAUCGUCAACCCCCCGGAUCUUGCAUCAAACACCGAAUACAGUUCUGUGCCCUCUUACUCGACAUAGUAAAACCAAAUGGCUAGAAUCCUUUCAGGAAGGUGUGUCUGGAGGCCCAACAUCAAAACAUUUUUCUUUGUGUUAAUCUCUAAACUAAACAUAUAUUGUUCAAAUUUACUAUUAAAAAAAAAAAACUCUUUAAGUACGAAAUACAUAACUAAAACUGGUUUAAAUGAGACAAGGCCGUUAGAAAGAGUUUUGUACUUUUUCUAAAACAAAUGUUGGAUUUUUACUCAUCAUUCCAAUUAGUAUAAGCAACUAAGAUGACAUGACAUUUUUUUAAAGUUCUUAUGAUGGAAUAAUUUUGAAUUUUGAAAGAAAUUGCAAAGCUAGUACG